rnacentral:rRNA from 1 species
UGCAAGUCGAGCGGACCGACGGGAGCUUGCUCCCUUAGGUCAGCGGCGGACGGGUGAGUAACACGUGGGUAACCUGCCUGUAAGACUGGGAUAACUCCGGGAAACCGGGGCUAAUACCGGAUGCUUGAUUGAACCGCAUGGUUCAAUCAUAAAAGGUGGCUUUUAGCUACCACUUGCAGAUGGACCCGCGGCGCAUUAGCUAGUUGGUGAGGUAACGGCUCACCAAGGCGACGAUGCGUAGCCGACCUGAGAGGGUGAUCGGCCACACUGGGACUGAGACACGGCCCAGACUCCUACGGGAGGCAGCAGUAGGGAAUCUUCCGCAAUGGACGAAAGUCUGACGGAGCAACGCCGCGUGAGUGAUGAAGGUUUUCGGAUCGUAAAACUCUGUUGUUAGGGAAGAACAAGUACCGUUCGAAUAGGGCGGCACCUUGACGGUACCUAACCAGAAAGCCACGGCUAACUACGUGCCAGCAGCCGCGGUAAUACGUAGGUGGCAAGCGUUGUCCGGAAUUAUUGGGCGUAAAGCGCGCGCAGGCGGUUUCUUAAGUCUGAUGUGAAAGCCCCCGGCUCAACCGGGGAGGGUCAUUGGAAACUGGGGAACUUGAGUGCAGAAGAGGAGAGUGGAAUUCCACGUGUAGCGGUGAAAUGCGUAGAGAUGUGGAGGAACACCAGUGGCGAAGGCGACUCUCUGGUCUGUAACUGACGCUGAGGCGCGAAAGCGUGGGGAGCGAACAGGAUUAGAUACCCUGGUAGUCCACGCCGUAAACGAUGAGUGCUAAGUGUUAGAGGGUUUCCGCCCUUUAGUGCUGCAGCAAACGCAUUAAGCACUCCGCCUGGGGAGUACGGUCGCAAGACUGAAACUCAAAGGAAUUGACGGGGGCCCGCACAAGCGGUGGAGCAUGUGGUUUAAUUCGAAGCAACGCGAAGAACCUUACCAGGUCUUGACAUCCUCUGACAACCCUAGAGAUAGGGCUUCCCCUUCGGGGGCAGAAUGACAGGUGGUGCAUGGUUGUCGUCAGCUCGUGUCGUGAGAUGUUGGGUUAAGUCCCGCAACGAGCGCAACCCUUGAUCUUAGUUGCCAGCAUUCAGUUGGGCACUCUAAGGUGACUGCCGGUGACAAACCGGAGGAAGGUGGGGAUGACGUCAAUCAUCAUGCCCUUAUGACUGG